rnacentral:rRNA from 1 species
UCUACAGCCAUCUUAGGCUGAAUUUGCCCAAUCUCUUCUGAUUUUAGAGGAUAAGCCAGGCCGAGCCUGCUUAGAACUUGGAUGGGGGACAGUCUGAGGCUUGAGAACUGCCAGGA